rnacentral:piRNA from 1 species
UCUAGGAUUUCUUUUUGUUCU